rnacentral:rRNA from 1 species
AUCAACGCUGGCGGCGUGCCUCAGACAUGCAAGUCGAACGAUUAAAGCUCUCUUCGGAGAGUGCAUAAAGUGGCGCACGGGUGAGUAACACGUAAGUAAUCUACCUCUGAGUGGGGAAUAACGUCCGGAAACGGACGCUAAUACCGCAUAAUGCAGCGGCAUCAUAAGAUGACAGUUGUUAAAGAUUUAUCGCUUAGAGAGGAGCUUGCGGCAGAUUAGCUAGUUGGUAAGGUAACGGCUUACCAAGGCUACGAUCUGUAACCGGUCUUAGAGGACGGUCGGUCACACUGACACUGAAUAACGGGUCAGACUCCUACGGGAGGCAGCAGUCGGGAAUUUUGGGCAAUGGGCGAAAGCCUGACCCAGCAACGCCGCGUGAAGGAUGAAGUAUUUCGGUAUGUAAACUUCGAAAGAAUAGGAAGAAUCAAUGACGGUACUAUUUAUAAGGUCCGGCUAACUACGU